rnacentral:lncRNA from 1 species
AAAAAUCAAAAGUCCAACUCUUCCUUUUAAGGAUAAGAUUACUAAGGCAGGAUGCCAGGUCAGGAAGAACUCCUUGCUAGUCCAAGGCUGCCAAGAAAGAUGGCUUUAGUUUAGCCUCUUGAAGAGGAGGGUGGAACAAGGACCCAGGGUUCACCAAACUAAGGAGUCAUCCUCAGCCAGGAAAUAAAAGUCCUUGGCAUUACUUAAAAUCAACAUAAACUCACUGAAUAAACUGUUUUCAGUUUAUGAGCUGACAUUUCUUCACACUGUAGCAGAAUAACUUUUUGGAUAAAACAGCCCAACCAAUGCAGACCCAGAAUGGACUUGAGAACUGGACUAGAAUGGAUCAAGAGCUUCUGUUCCCUCUGUCUCCAGAGGGGGGCAGCAUGUCACCAGCAGGAAUGCCUGAGAGCCAUGCUGUUGCUUUGAACUUGAGCUGUUUCAUCAGGCUAUUCUAACAUUACAUGGCAGAAAUAUUUGUAGCCUCCUUUUUGUUUUGGUCGAGUUUUUUUUACCCCCUAAGAUAUGUGGAUCUUUGAAUCACUUCCAGGACAACUCACCCAGCAAGGAAGGCCUUAUAUGUCUCCAACCAAAUCUUCUCCCCGAGCUGUGACCACACCGAUGCCUUUGAGAGCUUUACAGACUCCUUCCCCAAAAAGCCUCCCAUUAGUCAAGGGCAUCCCUUGGCCAGUCAAGACCCCCCAACAUGCUACUUGCUGGGUCAACAACCCUAAGUCUUAGCCAGCAAAGGAGGAGGAAGUCAAUUCAAAGAGGAAAAAAAAUAGAGAAACCCGUGGACUGUUUCAGAAUAUGCUUGAUGUGUGUUAAACAAAGAACUAGAGAUAAUAAGGCCCAAUGUAUCUAAACGUCACAAUGAAUGUUUAGUGUGUGAACAACAACAACAAAACAAAAUGACCGAGGACAGCCAAAUGCAAAGACUUCUCACACUAGGUGGCUGGGAGCUCGGGAUCAUUGGGGGAGAAUCUGGUGGGAGUGAGCUGAGAGCAAGUAACAGCCUGAAGAUGCUUCCCAUGUUCAAGCAGCUGGAGUCAGAGAGAUGAAAAAAUCCAGGGGAUGGAAAGCGAGAGAGACCGAUGUCAUCAUUUGUGCUGCUGUGAGCUGCAGAAAUAAUGCCAAACAAGUCAUGAAGAACAAAACUGUAAAAUAAGAUUCUCCAAAAGCUAGCCAGGACUCCCAGGCUGAGAAUCAUGUUUUUGCCUGAUAAGUCAAAAUCUGCUGUCCUGUGAGAGCUCACCCAGAAGAUGCGAGACAACUAGGACAAACAUGGCUACCCCUGCCCUGACUGUAAGGGGAAAGAGUACACGCUGCUUUCUAAACGUUCUUGAAUUGGUUGAGCUAUUCUGAUUGAAAUUGUAAAUUUUUUUCAGCUAUUAAAGAAGAAGAGCAAUAAGACUGUCUUGGUUAUAUUUGAUUCUUAUUUGAGUUCUACGAUGU